rnacentral:rRNA from 1 species
GACGAACGCUGGCGGCGUGCUUAACACAUGCAAGUCGAACGGAAAGGCCCUGCUUUUGUGGGGUGCUCGAGUGGCGAACGGGUGAGUAACACGUGAGUAACCUGCCCUUGACUUUGGGAUAACUUCAGGAAACUGGGGCUAAUACCGGAUAGGAGCUCCUGCUGCAUGGUGGGGGUUGGAAAGUUUCGGCGGUUGGGGAUGGACUCGCGGCUUAUCAGCUUGUUGGUGGGGUAGUGGCUUACCAAGGCUUUGACGGGUAGCCGGCCUGAGAGGGUGAGCGGCCACAUUGGGACUGAGAUGCGGCCCAGCCUCCUACGGGAGGCAGCAGUGGGGAAUAGUGCACAAUGGGCGGAAGCCUGAUGCAGCAACGCCGCGUGCGGGAUGACGGCCUUCGGGUUGUAAACCGCUUUCGCCUGUGACGAAGCGUGAGUGACGGUAAUGGGUAAAGAAGCACCGGCUAACUACGUG